rnacentral:misc_RNA from 1 species
CUUUUACUACGUUAAUACUUAAUAAAUAUUAACAUACUUAUAACAUUUACUAUAUAACACUAACUUAAUAUUAUUUGUUCCUUUAUUUAUUCAGUUACAUUUAUACCUAUUUUGAGUAAGCAAGGAUAGUUAUUAAUACAUUGAAUACAUUAAAUCGAUUUUUGAAUAGACAUGAAAAUAUAUACCUUGGAACAUCCUGGUGUGAAAGCUCCUGGUACUCCAAAAAUUACAAUUUUUUUCCCAUUUGCAAUUUUAGCAAGAUUCACUUUAUUUGCAGGAGAGUCUUCAAAAAGAUCAAUUCGAUAACCAUGUUUUGAGAUGAUACUCGAAAUUGUCGUAUGAUAUAACCAAGUGACAGUCGUUCAUUGACGGAAAUUGCGCGACUUAUAAGUGGGUUCAUCUGUAUAUAUAAUUGAUAACGUUAUGAGUAAAUCAAAUAAUCAACUAUUUGUAAUAGAAUGAAAUUGUAAAAGAAUUUCUUUAAUUGGAGCACGGUUGACUAUGGAUUGAAUGAACGUACGGAAUUGCGCAACCUUUCCGACUCAUUACAUAAAUAUAAUCAUUUUCUUUUGCAAUAUAUUUUUAUUUUUAAUAUUCAUCUCGUUUACGUAGUAAAAAUUAAUCGAUAACAUUGCCACGUAAGACAAUUUGAUAAUUUAUCAUUUUAGACAACGAUCGAUAAUUAGUCAA